rnacentral:rRNA from 1 species
GAUGAACGCUGGCGGCGUGCCUAAUACAUGCAAGUCGAGCGAACGGACGAGAAGCUUGCUUCUCUGAUGUUAGCGGCGGAUGGGUGAGUAACACGUGGAUAACCUACCUAUAAGACUGGGAUAACUUCGGGAAACCGGAGCUAAUACCGGAUAAUAUUUUGAACCGCAUGGUUCAAAAGUGAAAGACGGUCUUGCUGUCACUUAUAGAUGGAUCCGCGCUGCAUUAGCUAGUUGGUAAGGUAACGGCUUACCAAGGCAACGAUGCGUAGCCGACCUGAGAGGGUGAUCGGCCACACUGGAACUGAGACACGGUCCAGACUCCUACGGGAGGCAGCAGUAGGGAAUCUUCCGCAACGGGCGAAAGCCUGACGGAGCAACGCCGCGUGAGUGAUGAAGGUCUUCGGAUCGUAAAACUCUGUUAUUAGGGAAGAACAUAUGUGUAAGUAACUGUGCACAUCUUGACGGUACCUAAUCAGAAAGCCACGGCUAACUACGUG